GUCUGUGGCUCAGUGGUAGAACUUCUGUUUUGCAUGAAGAAGGUCCCAGGUUCAACACUUGGCAUCUCCA
rnacentral:tRNA from 1 species